rnacentral:rRNA from 1 species
UACGUAGGGGGGCAAGCGUUGUCCGGAUUUAUUGGGCGUAAAGAGCGUGUAGGCGGCCAGGUAGGUCUGCUGUGAAAACUCGAGGCUUAACCUCGAGCUGUCGGCGGAAACCAUCUGGCUAGAGUCCGGAAGAGGAGAAUGGAAUUCCCGGUGUAGCGGUGAAAUGCGCAGAUAUCGGGAAGGACACCCGUGGCGAAGGCGGCUCGCU